UACGUAGGGAGCAAGCGUUGUUCGGAUUUACUGGGCGUAAAGAGCGCGCAGGCGGGCGUUCAAGUCGCGUGUGAAAGCCCCCGGCUCAACUGGGGAGGGUCACGCGAUACUGAUCGACUCGAAGGCAGGAGAGGGUAGUGGAAUUCCUGGUGUAGCGGUGAAAUGCGCAGAUAUCAGGAAGAACACCCGUGGCGAAGGCGGCUCUCUGGUACGUGACUGACGCUGAGACGCGAAAGCGUGGGGAGCGAACAGG
rnacentral:rRNA from 1 species